AUUGAACGCUGGCGGCGUGCUUAACACAUGCAAGUCGAUCGGUAACAGGUGUAGCAAUACAUGCUGACGAGAGGCGGACGGGUGAGGAAUAUUUGGGAAUCUGCCCAUCAGCGGGGGACAACCCGGGGAAACUCGGGCUAAUACCGCAUACGCUCUACGGAGGAAAGCCGGGGACCGCAAGGCCUGGCACUGAUGGACGAGCCCAAAUCGGAUUAGCUAGUUGGCGGGGUAACGGCCCACCAAGGCGACGAUCCGGAGCUGGUCUGAGAGGACGGUCAGCCACACCUGAAAUGAGACACGGUCCGGACUCCUACGGGAGGCAGCAGUGGGGAAUAUUGGACAAUGGGGGAAACCCUGAUCCAGCGACGCCGCGUGGGUGAAGAAGGCCUGCGGGUUGUAAAUCCCUUUCGGUAGGGAAGAAAUCUCUUGUCUUAACACGGCAAGGGUUUGACUUAACCUACAUAAGAAGCACCGGCUAACUCUGUGCCAGCCGCCGCCGUAAUAC
rnacentral:rRNA from 1 species